GAGGCAACAUGGACCUUAGUGGCCCUUCAGUUGGGAAAUGAGCAUCAAGCCCUUAGCCUUGUCAAGCAAGUGCUCAACUUAUGGACAUUUCAUUUGUGACAAAUGUCCAUGUGUGAUGGAUAAUAUUCCUCCCAGGAAGCUGGAGACAGUGGGCCAAUCCCAUCAACAUCAUUGGGUCCAAUGCUGAGCAGAAAGCAUUGAACUUAAAUUCUUCAGCAUGUAGAUGAUCCCCAGAAGCCAGCUCUCAGACAAGGUGAACAGCAGAUGGUCGGCAUACCUGAGAGUAUGAG
rnacentral:lncRNA from 1 species